rnacentral:rRNA from 1 species
GAUGAACGCUGGCGGCGUGCCUCAAACAUGCAAGUCGAGCGAGGCUAUGAAUUACCGCAAGGUAAGGCAUAGCCUAGCGGCGAACGGGUGAGUAACACGUAGGUAAUCUGCCCAUCAGACGGGGACAACGAUUGGAAACGAUCGCUAAUACCGGAUAGGACGAAAGUUUAAAGAUGCUCCUGGCAUCACUGAUGGAUGAGCCUGCGGCGCAUUAGCUAGUUGGUGGGGUAAAGGCCUACCAAGGCGACGAUGCGUAGCCGACCUGAGAGGGUGAACGGCCACACUGGGACUGAGACACGGCCCAGACUCCUACGGGAGGCAGCAGUAGGGAAUCUUCGGCAAUGGGCGAAAGCCUGACCGAGCAACGCCGCGUGAAUGAAGAAGGCCUCGGUGUAAAUUACUGUUAUAAGGAAGAAAGGUAGAGUAGGAGGAAAGUAGACUAUACAAUUAGACGGUACCGUUAUAGUAGAAAGACCACGGACUAACUACGU